GCCGGUGGUCUUGGCGGAGGGGCCACACCCGUUCCCAUUCCGAACACGGAAGUUAAGCCCUCCAGCGCCGAUGGUACUAGUUGGUUCGCCUUCUGGGAGAGUAGGACACUGCCGGCU
rnacentral:rRNA from 1 species